rnacentral:rRNA from 1 species
GACGAACGCUGGCGGCGUGCUUAACACAUGCAAGUCGAACGAGGCCCUUUCUUCGGUUGGGGUUCUAGUGGCGAACGGGUGAGUAACACGUGGGCAACCUGCCCCUGGCUCUGGGAUAACUCCAAGAAAUUGGGGCUAAUACCGGAUAUGACCGCUGAUCGCAUGGUCUGGUGGUGGAAAGAUUUAUCGGCUGGGGAUGGGCCCGCGGCCUAUCAGCUUGUUGGUGGGGUAGUGGCCUACCAAGGCGACGACGGGUAGCCGGCCUGAGAGGGUGACCGGCCACACUGGGACUGAGACACGGCCCAAACUCCUACGGGAGGCAGCAGUGGGGAAUAUUGGACAAUGGGCGCAAGCCUGAUCCAGCCAUGCCGCGUGAGUGAUGAAGGCCCUAGGGUUGUAAAGCUCUUUCACCGGAGAAGAUAAUGACGGUAUCCGGAGAAGAAGCCCCGGCUAACUUCGUGCCAGCCGCCGCUGUAAG